GGGGAUGUAAAGGUUUCGACGGGGGUGUAGAAGAAGCAUAAGCGAGCCGUAGUCGCCCGGUCUACGCAAAAAAGGGCCGUUUAAAUAUAAACGCUAAAGAAAAUAAUAAUUUUGCACUGGCUGCCUAAGCAGCGUGCGGUUAGCUUCAGUUUUCCUGUAGGCUGAAAAUCUAACCUCGAAUCAUACGGGAAACCUUGUGAAAUUUCCCGGAUUCACAAGGGACUUACGGGAUAGUGAGUUUGAGAGCCUGCCGAUUGGCGCUUGGAUGAGCGAAAUUCAAAUUAUCGGCUGCGCUCGGAGAAAGUGCUUUGAACAUGCUUUCGGACAUGGGUUCGACUCCCAUCAUCUCCACCA
rnacentral:tmRNA from 1 species